rnacentral:rRNA from 1 species
UACGGAGGGGGCUAGCGUUGUUCGGAAUUACUGGGCGUAAAGAGCGCGCAGGCGGUCGAAUAAGUCGAAUGUGAAGCCCCCGGCUUAACUGGGGAGGGUCAUUCGAUACUGCUCGACUUGAAGGCAGGAGAGGGUAGUGGAAUUCCUGGUGUAGCGGUGAAAUGCGCAGAUAUCAGGAGGAACACCGGUGGCGAAGGCGGGUCUCUGGGCCGAUACUGACGCUGAGGAGCGAAAGCGUGGGAGCGAACAGG